rnacentral:rRNA from 1 species
GUUACCCGCAGAAGAAGCACCGGCUAACUCCGUGCCAGCAGCCGCGGGAGUUUGAUUCUGGCUCAGAUUGAACGCUGGCGGCGAGCCUAACACAUGCAAGUCGAGCGGUAGCACAGAGAGCUUGCUCUCGGGUGACCAGCGGCGGACGGGUGAAUAAUGUCUGGGAAACUGCCUGAUGGAGGGGGAUAAACUACUGGAAACGGUAGCUAAUACCGCAUAAUGUCGCAAGACCAAAGUGGGGGACCUUCGGGCCUCAUGCCAUCAGAUGUACCCAGAUGGGAUUAGCUAGUAGGUGGGGUAACGGCUCACCUAGGCGACGAUCCCUAGCUGGUCUGAGAGGAUGACCAGCCACACUGGAACUGAGACACGGUCCAGACUCCUACGGGAGGCAGCAGUGGGGAAUAUUGCACAAUGGGCGCAAGCCUGAUGCAGCCAUGCCGCGUGUGUGAAGAAGGCCUUCGGGUUGUAAAGCACUUUCAGCGGGGAGGAAGGCGAUAAGGUUAAUAACCUUGUCGAUUGACGUUACCCGCAGAAGAAGCACCGGCUAACUCCGUGCCAGCAGCCGCGGUAAUACGGAGGGUGCAAGCGUUAAUCGGAAUUACUGGGCGUAAAGCGCACGCAGGCGGUCUGUCAAGUCGGAUGUGAAAUCCCCGGGCUCAACCUGGGAACUGCAUUCGAAACUGGCAGGCUACUUAGAGUCUUGUAGAGGGGGGUAGAAUUCCAGGUGUAGCGGUGAAAUGCGUAGAGAUCUGGAGGAAUACCGGUGGCGAAGGCGGCCCCCUGGACAAAGACUGACGCUCAGGUGCGAAAGCGUGGGGUGAGCAAACAGGAUUAAAUACCCGUAGAUCAGAAUGCUACGGUGAAUACGUUCCCGGGCCUUGUACACACCGCCCGUCACACCAUGGGAGUGGGUUGCAAAAGAAGUAGGUAGCUUAACCUUCGGGAGGGCGCUUACCACUUUGUGAUUCCAA